rnacentral:rRNA from 1 species
UGGGGAAUAUUGCACAAUGGAGGGAACUCUGAUGCAGCGACGCCGCGUGAACGAAGAAGGCUUUCGAGUCGUAAAGUUCUUUUAUAUGGGAAGAUAAUGACGGUACCAUAAGAAAAAGCACCGGCUAACUACGUGCCAGCAGCCGCGGUAAUACGUAGGGGGCUAGCGUUGUCCGGAAUCACUGGGCGUAAAGGGUUCGCAGGCGGAUAUGCAAGUCAGGUGUAAAAGGCAGUAGCUUAACUACUGUAAGCAUUUGAAACUGCAUAUCUUGAGAAGAGUAGAGGUAAGUGGAAUUUUUAGUGUAGCGGUGAAAUGCGUAGAUAUUAAAAAGAAUACCGGUGGCGAAGGCGACUUACUGGGCUCAUUCUGACGCUGAGGAACGAAAGCGUGGGUAGCAAACAGG